rnacentral:rRNA from 1 species
AGGCAGCAGUGGGGAAUUUUCCGCAAUGGGCGAAAGCCUGACGGAGCAAUACCGCGUGAGGGAGGAAGGCUCUUGGGUUGUAAACCUCUUUUCUCAGGGAAGAACAAAAUGACGGUACCUGAGGAAUAAGCAUCGGCUAACUCCGUGCCAGCAGCCGCGGUAAUACGGAGGAUGCAAGCGUUAUCCGGAAUUAUUGGGCGUAAAGCGUCCGCAGGUGGCAGUUCAAGUCUGCUGUCAAAGGUCAGGGCUCAACCCUGAACAGGCAGUGGAAACUGAACAGCUAGAGUGCGGUAGGGGCAGAGGGAAUUCCCAGUGUAGUGGUGAAAUGCGUAGAGAUUGGGAAGAACACCGGUGGCGAAAGCGCUCUGCUAGGCCUGCACUGACACUCAGGGACGAAAGCUAGGGGAGCGAAUGGGAUUAGAUACCCCAGUAGUCCUAGCCGUAAACGAUGGAUACUAGGCGUGAGCUUGUAUCGACCCAAGCUGUGCCGUAGCUAACGCGUUAAGUAUCCCGCCUGGGGAGUACGCGCGUAAGCGUGAAACUCAAAUGAAUUGACGG